rnacentral:rRNA from 1 species
GAUGAACGCUGGCGGCGUGCCUAAUACAUGCAAGUCGAGCGAACAGACGAGGAGCUUGCUCCUCUGACGUUAGCGGCGGACGGGUGAGUAACACGUAGAUAACCUACCUAUAUGACUGGGAUAACUUCGGGAAACCGGAGACAAUACCGGAUCAUAUAUCGAACCGCAUGGAUCAAUAGUGCUAGACGGUUUUGCUGUCACUUAUAGAUGGAUCCGCGUCGCAUUAGCUAGUUGGUAAGGUAACGGCUUACCAAGGCGACGAUGCGUAGCCGACCUGAGAGGGUGAUCAGCCACACUGGAACUGAGACACGGUCCAGACUCCUACGGGAGGCAGCAGUAGGGAAUCUUGCGCAAUGGGCGAAAGCCUGACGGAGCAAUGCCGCGUGAGUGAAGAAGGUCUUCGGAUUGUAAAGCUCUGUUAUUGGGGAAGAACAAAAGUAUGUGUAACCAUGCAUGUCUUGACGGUACCUAAAGAAAAAGCAACGGCUAACUUCGUG